rnacentral:pre_miRNA from 1 species
CGACCAAAAGGUAUAUUCUUUAAUUGUUCUUAGGAAGAUGUUGAAGAUUGUUUAUGAGAGUAUUAUAAGUCACUACAUUUGGUAUGCAAAAGUUUUGUUUCCCAAACGAAGUGACUUAUAAUAAUCUCAUGAAUGGAUUUUGCAACUCUUAAAGAGAAAAUUAUAAUUCUUUUGUUG